rnacentral:rRNA from 1 species
GACGAACGCUGGCGGCGUGCCUAAUACAUGCAAGUUGAGCGAUGAAGAUUGGUGCUUGCACCAAUUUGAAGAGCAGCGAACGGGUGAGUAACGCGUGGGGAAUCUGCCUUUGAGCGGGGGACAACAUUUGGAAACGAAUGCUAAUACCGCAUAACAACUUUAAACAUAAGUUUUAAGUUUGAAAGAUGCAAUUGCAUCACUCAAAGAUGAUCCCGCGUUGUAUUAGCUAGUUGGUGAGGUAAAGGCUCACCAAGGCGAUGAUACAUAGCCGACCUGAGAGGGUGAGCGGCCACAUUGGGACUGAGACACGGCCCAAACUCCUACGGGAGGCAGCAGUAGGGAAUCUUCGGCAAUGGACGAAAGUCUGACCGAGCAACGCCGCGUGAGUGAAGAAGGUCUUCGGAUCGUAAAACUCUGUUGGUAGAGAAGAACGUUGGUGAGAGUGGAAAGCUCAUCAAGUGACGGUAACUACCCAGAAAGGGACGGCUAACUACGUG